rnacentral:rRNA from 11 species
UGACCGAUAGUGAACCAGUACCGUGAGGGAAAGGUGAAAAGCACCCCGAUGAGGGGAGUGAAACAGUACCUGAAACCGGUUGCCUACAAGCAGUGGGAGGAUCCUUGAGAUCUGACCGCGUACCUCUUGCAUAAUGGGUCUGUGACUUAAUGUAUCAAGCAAGCUUAAGCCGUUAGGUGUAGGCGCAGCGAAAGCGAGUCUUAAACGGGCGUUUAAGUUCGUCGGAUUAGACCCGAAGCCGAGUGAUCUAGCCAUGGGCAGGUUGAAGGUGCGGUAACACGCCCUGGAGGACCGAACCCACGUCUGUUGAAAAAGACGGGGAUGACCUGUGGUUAGGGGUGAAAGGCCAAUCAAACUGGGAAAUAGCUCGUACUCCCCGAAAUGUUUUUAGGAACAGCGUGGGGUUUAUUCUAACGGAGGUAGAGCUACCGAUAGGACUAGGGGGAGUCACAUCCUACCAAAUCCUGACGAACUCCGAAUGCCGUUAGAUUUGCCCUGCAGUGAGGGUCAGGGUGCUAAGGUCCUGAUCCGAGAGGGAAAGAACCCAGACCUACAGCUAAGGUCCCUAAAUCUGUGUUAAGUUGAACUAAGGCGGUCCAGUUGCAGAGACAGCCAGGAUGUUGGCUUGGAAGCAGCCAUUCAUUUAAAGAGUGCGUAACAGCUCACUGGUCGAGCG